AAAGUAUUUCAACCUUAUGUAUGUUAAUACAUAAGUUUAGGUAAAUAUAUUGUAUGUUUCGUGAUGAUGUGUAUGAUGAUGAAUGAUGAUGUCACUGAGAGGCUCCUCCCUCUUCAGUCUCUUAUACUCGUCUCUGAUCGCUCUUCUCUAUUCAAUCUCACAUCACACACUCACAACAUGCUGACAGUCUUCAUCAUCCUCAUCAUCACUCUGUCAUGUGUCAGUGGAGUGACUGUAGUGACCCAGAAUCCUCCAUUAAUCUCAGUCAAUAAAGGAGAAACUGUGUCAUUGGUGUGUAACACAGGCAGCUCUACUGAUGGUGGACGCUGGUAUAAACAGGUCGCAGGAGGAACGCCCCAGUUUGUGUUAAACUCGCACCAUGGCUGGAGCUCUCCUAAAUAUGGAUCUGGUUUUUCCUCUCCUAAAUUUACAGUAUCUUAUCCUACUGAGUCCGACUGUCAUCUGUCAAUCAGUAAUGUGGAUGUUGGUGAUUCUGCAGUGUAUUACUGUCACACAUGGGACAGCUCUGCUAAAGAGGAGGUAUCACAGUGAUUCACAGCAUGACAAAAACCUCCUCACUGCUCACAUUCACUUCUGCUUCUAGACAACAGAUGAUAAGACCACUAACUUACUUCACUUCUCUGAUCCAUGAUGAAUUUCAAACUAAUCACAGAUGCUGAGAAUAUUCUCC